UAGGGAAUCUUCGGCAAUGGGGGCAACCCUGACCGAGCAACGCCGCGUGAGUGAAGAAGGGUUUCGGCUCGUAAAGCUCUGUUGUUAAAGAAGAACAUGCAGGAGAGUAACUGUUCUUGUAUUGACGGUAUCUAACCAGAAAGCCACGGCUAACUACGUGCCAG
rnacentral:rRNA from 1 species